rnacentral:rRNA from 1 species
UACGUAGGGUGCGAGCGUUAAUCGGAAUUACUGGGCGUAAAGUGUGCGCAGGCGGCCGCGCAAGUCGAGUGUGAAAGCCCCGGGCUUAACUUGGGAAUUGCGCUCGAAACUACGUGGCUGGAGUGUGGCAGAGGAAGGUGGAAUUCCAGGUGUAGCGGUGAAAUGCGUAGAGAUCUGGAGGAACACCGAUGGCGAAGGCAGGUCUCUGGGCCACUACUGACGCUGAGAAGCGAAAGCAUGGGGAGCGAACAGG